AGUAACGCGUGGGUAACCUGCCUCAUACAGGGGGAUAACGAUUGGAAACGAUUGCUAAUACCGCAUAAGCGCACAGUACCACAUGGUGCAGUGUGAAAAACUCCGGUGGUAUGAGAUGGACCCGCGUCUGAUUAGCUAGUUGGUGAGGUAACGGCCCACCAAGCCGACGAUCAGUAGCCGACCUGAGAGGGUGACCGGCCACAUUGGGACUGAGACACGGCCCAG
rnacentral:rRNA from 1 species